CAACAAAUAUUUUAAUAAAAAUAUUAAUUUUGGGUAUUAAAGAUAUAGAAUUAUCUAUUUUGUUGA
rnacentral:tRNA from 1 species